AGCCUUAAUUGGAAAUUAACGGGGCCGUUAAAGCCUUACCGCCAGGGGGUUUGGUAAAGGCCAAGAAUGGUUGAAAAGCCCCCGGGGGCCUCCAACCUGGGAACUGCAUGUCGAACUGGCAAACUAGAGUGUGAUAGAGGGUGGUAGAAUUUCAGGUGUAGCGGUGAAAUGCGUAGAGAUCUGAAGGAAUACCGAUGGCGAAGGCAGCCACCUGGGUCAACACUGACGCUCAUGUACGAAAGCGUGGGGAGCAAACAGGAUUAGAUACCCUGGUAGUCCACGCCGUAAACGAUGUCUACUAGAAGCUCGGUUCCUCGGAACUGUUUUUCAAAGCUAACGCAUUAAGUAGACCGCCUGGGGAGUACGGCCGCAAGGUUAAAACUCAAAUGAAUUGACGGGGGCCCGCACAAGCGGUGGAGCAUGUGGUUUAAUUCGAUGCAACGCGAAGAACCUUACCUACACUUGACAUACAGAGAACUUACCAGAGAUGGUCUGGUGCCUUCGGGAACUCUGAUACAGGUGCUGCAUGGCUGUCGUCAGCUCGUGUUGUGAGAUGUAGGGUUAAGUCCCGCAACGAGCGCACCCUAUCCGUUAGUUCGCUAGCA
rnacentral:rRNA from 1 species